rnacentral:rRNA from 1 species
CACGGGGGGAGCAAGCGUUGUUCGGAAUCACUGGGCGUAAAGGGCGUGUAGGCGGUCAGGUAAGUGGGAUGUGAAAGCCCUCGGCUCACCCGAGGAUCUGCAUCUCAAACUGCCUGGCUUGAGUUCGGGAGAGGGAUGCGGAAUUCCAGGUGUAGCGGUGAAAUGCGUAGAUAUCUGGAGGAACACCGGUGGCGAAGGCGGCAUCCUGGACCGACACUGACGCUGAGGAGCGAAAGCCAGGGGAGCAAACGGG